AGAGUUUGAUCCUGGCUCAGAACGAACGCUGGCGGUAUGCCUAACACAUGCAAGUCGAACGCGAACGGAAUCUUCGGAUUCCAAGUAGAGUGGCGCACGGGUGAGUAACACGUGGAUAAUCUGCCCUAAGGUCAGGGAUAACACUUCGAAAGGGGUGCUAAUACCGGAUAAGCUCACGCCUUCCUCGGAAGAAGUGAGAAAAGAUUUAUUGCCUUAGGAUGAGUCCGCGGUCCAUUAGCUAGUUGGUGGGGUAAUGGCCUACCAAGGCUGCGGUGGAUAGCUGGUCUGAGAGGAUGAUCAGCCACACUGGAACUGAGACACGGUCCAGACUCCUACGGGAGGCAGCAGUGGGGAAUUUUGCGCAAUGGGGGAAACCCUGACGCAGCAAUACCGCGUGAAGGAUGAAGGCCCUUGGGUCGUAAACUUCUGUCAGAGGGGAAGAAAUACUCGCAAGGGUGCUGACGGUACCCCUCAAAGGAAGCACCGGCUAACUCCGUGCCAGCAGCCGCGGUAAUACGGAGGGUGCAAGCGUUGUUCGGAAUUAUUGGGCGUAAAGAGCAUGUAGGCGGUCUGUUAAGUCUGGUGUGAAAGCCCGGGGCUCAACCCCGGAAAGUGCAUUGGAUACUGGCAGACUUGAGUAUGGGAGAGGGAAGUGGA
rnacentral:rRNA from 1 species